ACGCUCGACACCUACUGGAGGCAGCAGUGAGGAAUAUUGGUCAAUGGACGCAAGUCUGAACCAGCCAUGCCGCGUGCAGGAUGACGGCUCUAUGAGUUGUAAACUGCUUUUGUACGAGGGUAAACGCAGAUACGUGUAUCUGUCUGAAAGUAUCGUACGAAUAAGGAUCGGCUAACUCCGUGCCAGCAGCCGUGGUAAUCUGAGCGGGCUGGCAAGGC
rnacentral:rRNA from 1 species